AUUCACGCAGACUGCCAGUGCAGACAUGAAUCGUGUGCUCGUGUGCGUGCUGACGGCUGCUUUGAGUGUCGGAAACGGUCAGCAAACGGUCCACCAGCCGGCGGGCGAUGUCUACGCUGUGGAGGGCGCAAGGGUGACGCUGGACUGCAGCUUCGACAGCACACGGAGCGACGACUGGAUCUUCUGGUACAAACAGCAAGUGAAGGCAGCACCCGAGUUUGUUCUGAGCAUCUCAAAGUUCGAUCAGGGCAAGACGGAGAAGAAGUACGCCGACAGGUUUCGCUCCAGCGUGGACGCCAGCACCACGCAAGCUCCUCUGCAUAUCGAGAGCGUGAAGCUGAGCGACUCGGCACUCUACUACUGCACCCUGCAGCCCACGCUGACACAUCCGCUGGCGUGCCUGCACAAAAACACCUGCACCCGUCUCGUGCCACGUCACAUUGGGGGUGUGGAGCGAACGGCUUGAUUUUGAAUGGUUGUUAACAAUUUUCUCUUUGGUGUGUUGAAUUUGAAAGAAAUAUUUUGUUUAUAUGUUGCCAAUGAAAGAAAUGAGAUCCACUCACAGAAAUGCACAAUCAUUCACACCAUCACUGAGCGCGAACUGAACCCGAGCUGCCUGCACAGAAGUCAGGUGAUAGACCAGUGGCUUAUAAACAUGCUUUGUUAAAUAAAUACAAUUUAAAAAAGUACAGUAUGCGAUGGGGAAGAGCAUGCGUGUGUGACCCCGAAACAGCUCUGCGGCUGCCACUCACACGUACACACUUCCUGCCUGAGUUGAAGACGCACAAAACAAACAACACGCUGCUCCACCUUCUCAUCAGGGUCAACAAGGUCAUAUGACUGACAGAAAGUCAUGAUGAUGAUGAAUAUCACAUAUAUAAACUACGUUAGCAUUUUCAAGUAUGGGCAAGCUUGCCCCGGUGCGCUGUCACCCUUGCACGCUGUCCCGCGGCCUUUUCACACGACUCAAGUACAGUGUGAAAAGGCCUUUCUACCUGACCUCCAUUUCCUCCUUACAAUGUACAACCCCAAUUCCAAUGAAGUUGGGAUAUUGUGUUAAACAUAAAUAAAAACGGAAUGCAGUGAUUUGCAAAUCAUGUUCCACCUAUAUUUAAUUGAAAACACUACAAAGACAAGAUAUUUAAUGUUCAAACUGAUAAACCUUAUUGUUUUUAGCAAAUAAUCAAUAACUUUUAUGGUUGUCAUGAACGGAACAGAGGAUAGGACCCAAAAAUGUACGACUCCAAAACAGUUAUUGAUUAUUUGCUAAAAACAAUACAUUGGAAUUGGGGUUGUACAUCCGGUCCCAGUAAGCUUUUAAGACAGGAACCAUAACUGCUGUCAUCUGUGACGCAGGUGCCAUGGCGACCACUUCCUUUGGAAAGAGUCGCGAAGACACAACCGAUAUCAAAAACACAGGCAAACUCACAUCGUAAUGUCUUCAACAUUUUGUUAGCCACAUUUGAAUCAUAGAUGAUUGUGCAGCUUUGCUGUCGUCUUAACUUGUUCUGAAUAAAGUAUUCAUAACAACAAUAAUUGCACGGCGAUUGACUCCCACAUGCCAACGAGCACGCCUUCAAUGUACUGUAUAACAUGUCACUCAUGUCAACAACUUCCCUGUUUGACACCCUGUUCACUAUUGAAUGCUAUUGCGCAUUGUGUCAUGG